rnacentral:ncRNA from 2 species
UGAAGUUUUUCGGGAAAGCGGCAGAUGCCCGCCGAAGGAGUAAUACUCUCAGGCAUCCUGAUAAAGGAUAGGACCGGAAAAU